rnacentral:misc_RNA from 1 species
CGGAACUACAGUUCUCAUCCAAAGCGGAAGCGCGACGAGGUAACAACCAAUGGAACUGACAAUAUCGACUUGGCUCUCCUCGAAGCCGUCGAGAAGUCCCAAAAGGCUGUCGAAGUAUUGGACCUUCGGACGGUGAAGAAGCUCUCUCUCGCCUUCGAACGCCGUCUCAGAGACAACACCGAAGCUCGCCUCAAGUAUCCCGACCAGCCCGAGCGCUUUGCCGAUUCUGAAGUCGAGCUCCAUGAAGAGAUUCAGAAGCUCAAAGUGCUCGCCG